GGUUGUAGUGAUGUUGUAUCAUGUCUGUGUUGUGGAGGUUGUAGUGAUGUUGUAUCAUGUCUGUGUUGUGGAGGUUGUAGUGAUGUUGUAUCAUGUCUGUGUUGUGGAGGUUGUAGUGAGGUUGUGAUGUUGUAUCAUGUCUGUUGUGAAGGUUGUAAUGAUGUUGUAUCAUGUCUGUGUUGUGGAGGUUGUAGUGAUGUUGUGGAGGUUGUAGUGAUGUUGUAUCAUGUCUGUUGUGGAGGUUGUAGUGAGGUUGUAGUGAUGUUGUAUCAUGUCUGUGUUGUGGAGGUUGUAGUGAUGUUGUAUCAUGUCUGUGUUAUGGAGGUUGUAGUGAGGUUGUAGUGAUGUUGUAUCAUGUCUGUGUUGUGGAGGUUGUAGUGAUGUUGUAGUGAUGUUGUAUCAUGUCUGUUGUGGAGGUUGUAGUGAUGUUGUAUCAUGUCUGUGUUGUGGAGGUUGUAGUGAUGUUGUAUCAUGUCUGUGUUAUUUAG
ensembl:lncRNA